UACGUAGGGACCGAGCGUUGUCCGGAAUCAUUGGGCGUAAAGAGCGUGUAGGCGGCUAUUUAAGUCCUGCGUGAAAUCCUGCGGCUCAACCGCAGACGGUCGUGGGAAACUGGAUGGCUAGAGUGCGGGAGAGGAGAGUGGAAUUCCCGGUGUAGCGGUGAAAUGCGCAGAUAUCGGGAAGAACACCCGUGUCGAAGGCGGCUCUCUGGAACGCAACUGACGCUGAGACGCGAAAGCGUGGGGAGCAAACAGG
rnacentral:rRNA from 1 species